UGUAAACUGUGAUUGCUGGAAAAUACACUUGGCUUCACUGCAUCUUCCUCCAGCACACGUUGAGUCAUCAAAAAUAACAUUCUUUACUGAUUACACUCCCCAUUACAAAUAUUAACUCCCUGUUCCAAAGCAAUGAUCAAACCACUUGUGCAGUGCACAGAUUUAGACAAGUAAAGCAUUAUGCUCAGAGUUAGUCAAAUAUGGUCAGCACACUGACAGAGGAACUCUCAAUCCUUGCUGGUUGUAGGGGCCAAAGUUUCUUCAUUAACUAGCAUAAACCUCGAUGGUUGAGAAACGCUGGCUAAUAAAGCUAUUUGGUGACCAGAAGACCUCCAGGGACUCGUAAUCCACUUAGAACCAGGAAUUUUAAAGCUUCAGAAUAAAUUGAUAAAGACUGGAAAAAGCAAGAAAAUGUGAGAUUUCUGGUGUUGUCAAUAGUGAUAUGGAGCUCAAAACACAAGAAACCCACCAGCCUACCUACAACCCUGUGAGGACCAUCAGCUUUACCUUGAGGGCCUUUGGUUGGAGGACAACGUUGGCCAAGACAAUGUGGACCUUUCACACUCACCUUCUUUCAAGAUUCAAGAUGGUUUAAUGUCAUUCCCUGUACGCAAGUGUAAAGGAGCACAAAAUAAUUGUUACUCUGGAUCUGA